GAUAAUGGUGUGGCUGAAAAUUCAUGAUAGAGAAGAGACCUCCAUCCAACAUUUUUUUCCCGGUUGUCUUUGGAUCCGGGACUAAAGGACCUUUAGUCCCAUGUCAAAAGACGAGCUCUUUAGUUCCGGUUGGUAAUAUUAACCGGGACUAAAGAGACUCCUUUAGUCCCGGUUGUAUUGGAGGGAAUCUAGUGGGACGUUUAGUCCUGGUUAAAAACACCAACCGGGACUAAAGACCCCGCUUUAGUCCCGGUUGGAAUUACCAUCCGGGACUAAAGGGGGUGCCUUUAUUCCGGUUGGUAACACCAACCGGGACUAAAUGCCCAACCAAAACCUUUUCACGCACCCCCCUCCACCUUAUCUUCUCCUCCUCUCCCUUUCUUAUCUCGUGCACGCAGGCAUCGCUCUGCUUCCCU
rnacentral:lncRNA from 1 species